rnacentral:rRNA from 1 species
GAUGAACGCUGGCGGCGUGCCUAAUACAUGCAAGUCGAGCGAACGGACGAGAAGCUUGCUUCUCUGAUGUUAGCGGCGGACGGGCGAGUAACACGUGGAUAACCUACCUAUAAGACUGGGAUAACUUCGGGAAACCGGAGCUAAUACCGGAUAAUAUUUUGAACCGCAUGGUUCAAAAGUGAAAGACGGUCUUGCUGUCACUUAUAGAUGGAUCCGCGCUGCAUUAGCUAGUUGGUAAGGUAACGGCUUACCAAGGCAACGAUGCAUAGCCGACCUGAGAGGGGGAUCGGCCACACUGGAACUGAGACGCGGUCCAGACUCCUACGGGAGGCAGCAGUAGGGAAUCUUCCGCAAAGGGCGAAAGCCUGACGGAGCAACGCCGCGUGAGUGAUGAAGGUCUUCGGAUCGUAAAACUCUGUUAUUAGGGAAGAACAUAUGUGUAAGUAACUGUGCACAUCUUGACGGUACCUAAUCAGAAAGCCACGGCUAACUACGUG